rnacentral:rRNA from 1 species
UACGUAGGGGGCGAGCGUUGUCCGGAAUUACUGGGCGUAAAGGGUGCGUAGGCGGCAUGUUAAGUUGGAUGUGAAAUACCCGGGCUCAACCUGGGGGGUGCAUUCAAAACUGGCAAGCUAGAGUGCAGGAGAGGGAAGCGGAAUUCCUAGUGUAGCGGUGAAAUGCGUAGAUAUUAGGAGGAACACCAGUGGCGAAGGCGGCUUUCUGGACUGUAACUGACGCUGAUGCACGAAAGCGUGGGGAGCAAAC